AGAGUUUGAUCCUGGCUCAGAACGAACGCUGGCGGCGUGGAUAAGACAUGCAAGUCGAACGAGAAAUGCCUUAGCUUGCUUUGGUUAUUUCCAGUGGCGGACGGGUGAGUAACACGUGAGUUACCUGCCCCAGAGUGGGGGAUAGCCCACCGAAAGGUGGAUUAAUACCGCAUGAUAUCGCAAGAUUAAAGGAGCCUUCGGGUUUCGCUCUGGGAUGGGCUCGCGGCCUAUCAGCUUGUUGGUGAGGUAAAGGCUCACCAAGGCGACGACGGGUAGCUGGUCUGAGAGGACGAUCAGUCACACUGGAACUGAGACACGGUCCAGACACCUACGGGUGGCAGCAGUCGAGAAUCAUUCGCAAUGGGGGAAACCCUGACGGUGCGACGCCGCGUGGAGGACAUGAAGGCCCUAGGGUUGUAAACUCCUGUCAUCAGUGAGUAAGGCAUGUAUGUUAAUACCAUGCAUGUUUGAUAGUAACUGAAGAGGAAGAGACGGCUAACUCUGUGCCAGCAGCCGCGGUAAUACAGAGGUCUCAAGCGUUGUUCGGAAUCACUGGGCGUAAAGCGUGCGUAGGCGGCAAGGUAAGUCAGAUGUGAAAUCCCGGGGCUCAACCCUGGAACUGCAUCCGAUACUGCCUUGCUAGAGUAGUGGAGGGGAGUCUGGAAUUCUCGGUGUAGCAGUGAAAUGCGUAGAUAUCGAGAGGAACACUAGUGGCGAAGGCGAGACUCUGGACACUUACUGACGCUGAGGCACGAAGGCUAGGGUAGCGAAAGGGAUUAGAUACCCCUGUAGUCCUAGCAGUAAACGGUGCUCGCUUGGUGUGCGCGGAUUCGACCCCGUGCGUGCCGUAGCUAACGCGUUAAGCGAGCCGCCUGGGGAGUACGGCCGCAAGGCUAAAACUCAAAGAAAUUGACGGGGACCCGCACAAGCGGUGGAGUAUGUGGCUUAAUUCGAUGCAACGCGAAGAACCUUACCUAGGCUUGACAUGCUUGUCGUAGUCCUGUGAAAGCAGGACGUCAGUUCGGCUGGACUUGCACAGGUGCUGCAUGGCUAUCGUCAGCUCGUGUCGUGAGAUGUUGGGUUAAGUCCCGCAACGAGCGCAACCCCUGUGGUCUGUUGCCAGCACGUAAUGGUGGGGACUCUGACCAGACUGCCCAGAUCAACUGGGAGGAAGGUGGGGACGACGUCAAGUCAGUAUGGCCCUUACGCCUAGGGCUGCACACGUACUACAAUGCCCAGUACAAUUUGAACCGAGACCGCGAGGUGGAGGAAAUCUACAAAACUGGGCUCAGUUCGGAUUGGAGGCUGCAACUCGCCUCCAUGAAGUCGGAAUCGCUAGUAAUGCCGUAUCAGCUACGACGGCGUGAAUACGUUCCCGGGUCUUGUACACACCGCCCGUCACAUCAUGGAAGCCGGCCGCACCCGAAGUAUCUUCAAUAAGAGGGUCCUAAGGUGUAGCUGGUAACUGGGAUGAAGUCGUAACAAGGUA
rnacentral:rRNA from 1 species